rnacentral:rRNA from 1 species
GGGAAUUUUGAUUAAACGCGAAGAAACCUUACCAAGGCUUGACAUACACCGGAAACGGCCAGAGAUGGUCGCCCCCUUGUGGUCGGUGUACAGGUGGUGCAUGGUUGUCGUCAGCUCGUGUCGUGAGAUGUUGGGUUAAGUCCCGCAACGAGCGCAACCCUUAUUGUCAGUUGCCAGCAUUUAGUUGGGCACUCUGGCGAGACUGCCGGUGACAAGCCGGAGGAAGGUGGGGAUGACGUCAAAUCAUCAUGCCCCUUAUGACCUGGGCUACACACGUGCUACAAUGGACGGUACAACGAGUCGCGAAACCGCGAGGUCAAGCUAAUCUCUUAAAGCCGUUCUCAGUUCGGAUUGUAGGCUGCAACUCGCCUACAUGAAGUUGGAAUCGCUAGUAAUCGUGGAUCAGC